UCUCGCGACACCGCGGAGCAAGGAAGCCAGGAAGCCUCGGAGGGAACUUCCGGCUAAGCAUUUAAGGGCGCAUCUUUCGCCAGGGCCGGAAGUUGAGAGGGCAGAACGGAAAGCAAUUGGGUCUUGAAGUCCCUGCGCGCAUCCUCUAGGAACUCGGGUAGAAACCCUUCCUCGGAUGUACCAGGGUGUGCUGGGCAACAAAGGGAAAGCUGCAGGUGGCCACUCCUGUUUUCUGACGUCGGGGAUUUGUUUCCUAACCACUGAAUGAGGAUUUCAAGUACCGCAGUGGAAGGCAGGUCUCUUUCUGACGGUGAAUAAGGCUGUUAAUGAGCACGUGACAGGUGUACUUGAAGGCAACCACGGAAAAUUUCGCAAAAUCUGCUUUCCUGCCCUUUAUAUGCCACAUAACGUACUUGCUUUCAGGUAAUUUCCUUCCUCACCAAGUCUCCAGCCCGUCCAUUCUCAUUUGCUCUUAAUUAACGUUCCUUUUGUAAGAGUUUGAAUGAUUACGUGUUUUAAUAAACCACAGCGCAGCACAGCCCUCAGAGCCCCGCCUCCUAUUUGUACCCAAAAAACUUUGAUAGCGGAUUGCUGCGGGGAAUACUGGAGUUUACUGGCAUAAUGCUUUGCAUUUUUCAAAAGACCUUUUCACAGCCUACCGCAGGAAUCGAUCUGAGGGAAUAAAUACAACCAACACAGGCUUGGGAAUGCGAGGGCUGGGCUCAAUCAAAUCAGGGCCUUCUCACAACACCGUUGAGAACGGGAAUACUGAAAACACACAAACUUGUAAUCUAUUCUUUAAAAAAAAAAUCGAAUGGUAAAAUAUGGGAGCCCUUGACAGGGGUGUCAUCCUUAAGUCAUCUAGUCAAAACUAUUGAGGCUAUAAAAUUCUUAGAAAAUGAGCUUGCAUUGCCUCUAUUCAUUCCUUAGCUCUAUAUACAAAUCACAAGUCAAGUGGAAGAAUAAGGUGACUCUAAAUAAUGUAAAGCAAAAAUAGGUUUUCUUACUUAAAAGCUCAAUUCUUCGUUUCACUUUGAGUGUGUAUUCAGGGCACACUACUUUAUAAAAUUGUUUUGCUUUAAGAUAGUGUUUGAAAACCAUUUUAUUUUAAUUCUGACCAAGUGUAGAACAGGACUGAUCAAGUUGUUCACAUCUCAACUGAGAAUACCUAUUUCCCAAGUCUAAAUUCAACUAUAAAUUUUUUUAGCCACGGGAGUCAUUUGAACUCAACAUGAUAAAUCUUGCAACUGAAUUCUCAAGUCAUCUCAAGAGUAUACUUUUUAUAAAAGGUGCAAAAACAUAACAAGCAAUAACCAUGUAGAACGUAAAGAAUUCAGCCAGAAAUUAUUUUCCCUCAGAUGCAUAAAUAAUAUAAACAAGUGUAUCUUUUACUCCUGUAGUGUUACACCAAUGAGGAAACAGUAACUUAUCUAAGGAUACAUCGGUGAUUCUUUAUUAAUUCAAAACAUUUUUAAAAAGUGUAAUGAAUGUGCAUUUUACAAUAAUAUUCAUAGGUUUCCACAAUAUAGUCAAAUGAAAACAGCUGUAGUUUGGUUUACUUUGAAAACUCAAAGAAAUAUAUUUAGUUUGAGACUUCUAAAUUUUCUUACAUUAUUGUCAUGCUCAAAUACUAUUACAUGUUGAAAAUUCUAGCAUUUUCUGGAAGUCUGUUGUACAUAGGUAAAGUAAUAAAAUAGGUUCAGGAAGGGGGAAUAAAAACACGUAACAACUUAACUUGGAGGAAAAGUAUUCUGGAUUAACUAUUCAAUUUGUAUGUACCUUCAGUUAUUCUGGCAUUGCAAAAUAACCAAGCAUUGUAUCUCAUAAAUCGUGUUCAUGCAUUCAAAACUUCUACUCCACUAAUAUAUAUUGAUGGAGUCUAAAAUAUGGAUAUAGGUUAUUAAGUACAAUGAACAUGGUAGCAAAAAAUUAACACACGUCCAAUAUGAUAAAUUUUAAAGAACCACAUUGAAAUCAUUUUUAAUAUUUAGCAAACAUACCAAAAUCAUAUACAAGAAACAUUAUAUUUUUGACAAAUAGGUUAAAGCAAGCAGAAAAAUUAAGACUUUUACAUUAUUUCAAUGUUCAUUGUUCGGUAGAGGGCAAUACGGAAAAGCACUCAGCAAAAUGAUCAUCAAUUUAAAUCACCCUUUUCAAUAAUCAGUAAGACUAAAAUCUUUAUUACCCAAGGGAUGUAGCAAAUUAAAGUAAUUAUUACACAGGUAGUUCAAGGGGGAAAAAUAUAACUUUCACUUCCAUUAAGUGAAGAUUUAAGUUAACACUGUUUUGGAGCUUUAUUUUUUCCCCUCCACUUUCCAGUUCAUUGUAUUUGCUUCAUAGUAUUUGUUAGCAAUCAUUUAAUGGAAACUAAUAGCGGGGUGAGGAAUCUGUUCAAAAUUUUUUAGCUCAGUGGAAAUGUCCAGAAAAUCUACCUCUGAUAUAACCUCUUAAAAUUUUAUUAUAGUGUAGAGACUUAAACACUACCUCAGCCAGAUGAUCAAAGGCAUCAACAGUGAGAAGUCAUGUGAUGUGUAUGUACCUCUGAUAUCAUGUGAUACUAAUGGCACUUUACUUGUGUGGUCUUCCUUCCAAAAACUGAUAACUCCUGUCUAAUGAUGGAAAAAAAAUAGACUAUUCCAAUUGUGGGACAUUUUAUAAAAUAUAAUACUUCUCAAUAUUGUCAAGGUCAUCAAAAACAAAAAAAGUUUGAGAAACUGUCACAGCUAAGAGUAGCCUAAGGAGACAUGAUAACUAUAUGUAAUGUGGUAUCUUAAAUGGGAUCCUAGAACAAAAAAAAAAAGGACACUUGGUAAAAGGUAAGGGAACCUGAAUAAAGUGUGGACUUAAUAAUGCAUUGAUCCUGGUUCAUAAAUUGGGACAUGUCUCCUGCAUGUGCUAUAUAGGAAACCACUCUGUAAUAACUUUGUAAUUUUUCUGUAAAUCUAAAACUUCUAAAAUAAAAGUCUUCAUGGAAAAUUUUAUAAACACAACCAUCUGUUCUUUUAUUUUCAUAUUUUGAUGGUAAAAAUAUUUAAAAAAUCAUACCACCUUAAUAUUCAACAGAAUGCUUUCUGUACCAUGCCAAUACCAAUGUUUUCUAAUGGUCCAUCUCUGAUAACUUAGUUUUACUUGAUCCCUACAUAUUUAUUUGGCAAAUUACUUGAUAUUUACAUUCUCCCUAUUGUUGGGAAUAUUGCUUUAUUUCCUCUGGAAAUAAAAUUUUCAAAUCUAAAUUAAAUUUUGGUUUAAACUAUAUUAUACACACACAUACACACCCAUGUACAAAUGUAUACACAUGUAUAUAUCUUGUGUGUAUGUCAUUGAAAGAAACAUAUUGCUUGGCCGUAGAUAGAGUGUGAUGUUGGAGAAAUGAAAAUAGUGAUUUUGAGUCACAUUAUUGAACAAUGCAACAACAUAGGCAUAUAGUCCUCUUUACCUUAACAUAAGCUUGGUCAUAAUUUUUUAGAUGAAUGAUUAAAUCAAAUUUUUGAAGUAUGGUUAAAAAAAUAGAGGGAAAGUGCAUUAAAAUGGCAUCUAAUACAUUCUGGAAAGGUGGGAAUCAUUAUUUAGCUGGAGAACUUUGAUAAAAUAACAUGUAACACUACUCUUUCUAUGUUUAUUUCAAUUCUCAAGGCUCUGCUGUAAAUGAAGUGUCAUACUUCUUAUUUGAAGAUGAAGAAGCAGGCUCAGAGAAGAUAAAUGUCCAAAAGUCACAUGAGACAGAAAUAUAACUUGAAAUCGAAUUUAUAAUUAGAGCCUAGCACUAAUUGGGAAAUGAUACUUAUCAAUUUGUGCACUAUUGUCUGUUGCAAGGAUACUGUGAAGAGUGUUGGAAGAUCUGAAGAAAGUUUUUGAUUAUCAGUUUUACUGAUAUAUAUUUGAAGUUGUAGCAAAUUAGGCAUAACUAAAAUGUUUACAGAUUGAAUACUGUUUUCUCAGAACAAACAUUUUAUAUUGGUCAGAAAUUUUAAAAAACUGAAAGAAUAUGAAAAUAUUAAGUGUUUGCAAAAUAGAAUUUGAAAAUUAAGGUCAUAAGCUGUCAAUAUAAAAACACAAGCAAAAAAAUUGGGGGGUAAUAUUUUUACUACCUCUCAAAAUAAUUUCCCACUAUAUUCAUUGCAAAGUUUUCAAAACUCAUGUUUAAUAGGGUUCGAUCAACAGACAUUUUAGAUCUAAGAAAUUUUAGUUGGCUUUUGAAAGAGUUCUUAUCAUUUUCUGAUUUUAUUUUAAAUUUCCUUGUGUAUUUCUUCCUCAAAACACUUAACAUAUUUCUUGCAAAUGUAAUUUGUCAUAAUUACAAUAUAACUUUUUUUUCAAUGUAAGUUGGAAGUGUAUAGAAAAAAUGGAUAAAUUCAAAACUAAGAAUCAGGUAUUUUAUAUCAGCCUCAUGUAGUGAAAAUGUAUUUAUGCCCCUAACAAAUAAACAUUAUUUACCUCUU